CCUACGUGUGGCAGCAGUGGGGAAUAUUGCGCAAUGGGCGAAAGCCUGACGCAGCGACGCCGCGUGAGGGAUGCAGGUCUUCGGAUCGUAAACCUCUGUCAGCAGGGAAGAACGGUAACUGUGCUAAUCAGCAGUGAAUUGACGGUAUCUGCAAAGGAAGCACCGCCUAACUCCGUGCCAGCAGCCGCGGUAAUACGGAGGGUUCGAGCGUUAAUCGGAAUUACUGUGCGUAAAGCGAUCGUAGGCGGUAUGUCAAGUCAAGGGUGAAAUCCCCGCGCUCAACGUUGGAACUGCCUUUGAAACUGGCAAACUGGAGUGUGUGAGAGGAUAGUGGAAU
rnacentral:rRNA from 1 species